rnacentral:rRNA from 1 species
CUCAGGAUGAACGCUAGCGGCAGGCUUAACACAUGCAAGUCGAGGGGCAGCGCGGGGCGGCAACGUCCUGGCGGCGACCGGCGGAAGGGUGCGUAACGCGUGAGCGACAUGCCCGUUGCCUGGGGACAACCGGUGGAAACGCCGACUAAUCCCCAAUAUGAUAUUUGUCCGCAUGGACGGAUAUUGAAAGUUGAGGCGGCGACGGAUUGGCUCGCGUCCGAUUAGCUGGUUGGCGGGGUAACGGCCCACCAAGGCUACGAUCGGUAGGGGUUCUGAGAGGAAGGUCCCCCACAAUGGAACUGAGACACGGUCCAUACUCCUACGGGAGGCAGCAGUGAGGAAUAUUGGUCAAUGGGCGGAAGCCUGAACCAGCCAUGCCGCGUGCGGGAAGGAGGCCCUAUGGGCUGUGAACCGCUUUUGCGAGGGGGCAAUAAGGGCCACGAGCUGGCCUGAUGAGAGUACCUCGCGAAUAAGCAUCGGCUAACUCCGUGCCAGCAGCCGCGGUAAUACGGGGGAUGCGAGCGUUAUCCGGAUUCAUUGGGUUUAAAGGGUGCGUAGGCUGUGCGUCAAGUCAGGGGUGAAAUUCCCGCGCUCAACGCGGGGGCUGCCUUUGAUACUGUCGCGCUGGAGUGCGGAUGCCGCCGGAGGAAUGGAGUGGUGUAGCGGUGAAAUGCUUAGAUAUCACUCAGAACACCGAUUGCGAAGGCAUCUGGCGAAAUCCGUAACUGACGCUGAGGCACGAAAGCGUGGGGAUAGAACAGGAUUAGAUACCCUGGUAUUCCACGCCGUAAACGAUGAUGGCUAACCGCCGGCGACACACAGUCGGUGGCCAAGCGAAAGCGAUAAGCCAUCCACCUGGGGAGUACGUUCGCAAGAAUGAAACUCAAAGGAAUUGACGGGGACCCGCACAAGCGGUGGAGCAUGUGGUUUAAUUCGAAGCAACGCGAAGAACCUUACCAGGUCUUGACAUCCUCUUGACCGAUGCUUAAUCGUAUCUUCUCUUCGGAGCAAGAGAGACAGGUGGUGCAUGGUUGUCGUCAGCUCGUGUCGUGAGAUGUUGGGUUAAGUCCCGCAACGAGCGCAACCCCUAUUUUUAGUAGCCAGCGGUUCGGCCGGGCACUCUAGAGAGACUGCCGGGGAUAACUCGGAGGAAGGUGGGGACGACGUCAAAUCAUCAUGCCCCUUAUGAUCUGGGCUACACACGUGCUACAAUGGCGGAUACAAAGAGAAGCGAAGCCGCGAGGUGGAGCAAACCUCAAAAAAACCGUCUCAGUUCGGAUUGUAGUCUGCAACUCGACUACAUGAAGCUGGAAUCGCUAGUAAUCGCGAAUCAGAAUGUCGCGGUGA